rnacentral:misc_RNA from 1 species
GCUUGAAGCGGCUGCGAUAAAUCUCCAGCGCCGGGAUCAGUUGGUCGGGUGCGAAAUGCGAGGCGAAUGCAUAUGGAAGUCCGAGUUCGGCGGCGAGCAUCGCGCCGAAAUGGCUUGACCCCAGAAUCCACAGCGGCACGUUUGUGCCGGCAGCGGGCACCGCCUGGAUGCGCUGGUUCGGCCCGGCGGGCGCCAGGAAGGCCUGCACCUCCAGCACGUCCUGAGGAAAAUUGUCGGCAGCUUCGGGCGAGCGCCGCAACGCGCGCAGCGUGAG